AUACUUACCUGGUAGGGAAGAUACCAUGACCAUGAAGAGGGGGUUCCCCAGGGUGAGGCUCAUCCAUUGCGUUGCGGGGGGGCUGACCUCUGCGGUUUUCCCAAAUGUGGGAAAUUCCACCGCGGGGUUUGUGGGGGGGGAAUCUGCGUGCGCGCUGCCCCCGG